CGGUUCUGCCCAUGGCGGGCGUUUCCUCCCUUGACUUCGGCCCCGCGCGGAUCCCGCUGCGGGGCCUUUUCUUUCCGAAC
rnacentral:sRNA from 1 species